rnacentral:sRNA from 1 species
GGCUCUGUCCUCCUGGACAUCCCGAAAGACUGAUGCCAGGGACCUUCUCCUGAAGGCGGCUACUUUGCCUGGUUCCCAAGCAUC